rnacentral:rRNA from 1 species
GACGAACGCUGGCGGCGUGCCUAAUACAUGCAAGUUGAGCGAUGAAGCUUGGUGCUUGCACCAAUUUGAAGAGCAGCGAACGGGUGAGUAACGCGUGGGGAAUCUGCCUUUGAGCGGGGGACAACAUUUGGAAACGAAUGCUAAUACCGCAUAACAACUUUAAACAUAAGUUUUAAGUUUGAAAGAUGCAAUUGCAUCACUCAAAGAUGAUCCCGCGUUGUAUUAGCUAGUUGGUGAGGUAAAGGCUCACCAAGGCGAUGAUACAUAGCCGACCUGAGAGGGUGAUCGGCCACAUUGGGACUCAGACACGGCCCAAACUCCUACGGGAGGCAGCAGUAGGGAAUCUUCGGCAAUGGACGAAAGUCUGACCGAGCAACGCCGCGUGAGUGAAGAAGGUUUUCGGAUCGUAAAACUCUGUUGGUAGAGAAGAACGUUGGUGAGAGUGGAAAGCUCAUCAAGUGACGGUAACUACCCAGAAAGGGACGGCUAACUACGUG